GAGGCGGUGGCUCUCCUCCGCGGCGUGGGUGCAAGCAAGGACGGGUCCCUAAAGAGCAGCAGAAGAGACAGGAGCAGGCACAGUGAGGUGGGAAGGCGGCGCGACGGAGGGGGCUGGAAAUGCAGGAGGCGAGAAAAGAGACCGAGGCAGAGCUGUGCUGCUACGGAAAGUUUCCAGGCAAGAGAAGAGAGAAAGCACCGGAGGCACUGCGGGGCGGCUGGGCUCCUGUUAGCACUUCGGGG